rnacentral:rRNA from 1 species
AUGGUGGCCGUUACAGGGGCAACAGCUGCAGAGACGAAAGCUCAAGCAGCUCGGCAAGCUGCUGCCGACUGUGAUGUGGCUUGUACCCUUGCCGCAGAAGCAACAUUGGCAGCUCAAAGAGCUGCCGUCCUCUGUGUUGCCGCACGUGACGAUGCAGCAGCAGCAAAAUUGGUAGCUGACAAAGCUGCUACUACUUGGUGUGAUGUGGCAAAUCGCCGGGAAGCAAUAUCAGCAGCUAAAGAAGCUGCGCGCGGCCACAAGGCGGCGCGUGCGACUGCAGAGGCAGCAUCUUUGGCAGCUCGAAAAGCUGCUGUCGGUUGUGCUGCAAAAAGUCGCCGUGCUGUAGCAGCAGCUUCAGCAGCUGGAAACGCUGCUACCAUCUGUGAUGCAAUAGAUGGUCAUGGAGCAGCAGAAGCAGCUUUGGCAGCUCGAAAAGCUGUUACCGUAACAACAUCACCGGUAGCCACUAACGGUAAUGCGCUACGUGCCAAUGCUGCGGUAGCAGACGGAGAAGUUGCCACUAACCGUGAUGUGGUACGUGCUGAAGCUGCGGCGGCGGCAGCACUGGCAGCUCGAGAAGCAGCUGCCAACUGUGAUGCCGCAUGCGGCGAUGCAGGUACAGAUGAUGACAAGAAGUUCCUCCAGGACAUGCGGGGGUGGUUGAUGACAGUGGCCACGCUUUUUGUCGGCAUGUCGUACCAAGCAAAUAUCCGUCCGCCGUCCUGGAUGAAAGAUGGCGAUGUUUGGAAUUCCUAUAUUUUCUGGCGGUAA